rnacentral:lncRNA from 1 species
CUUACCAUUCACGGCUGAAACCCAUAUUAGCUGGCUUGGAGAUUUCACCAUCACAGUGGAGUCACCCUUGACAAGUUCAACAGGGGCUAGGCUCUGCUCUUGGUGGGCUCUCGGCAGCCUCGACCACUCUUUCCCUGCGUAGCCUACACACUCUGCCCCUGCUGCCUUUCCCACCCUGACCCUAUUUCUCAGGCUCCUCCACAGCACCCUCAUGGUGCGCACACCUCUCAGAUGCCAGCACUCCAGUGCUCUGAUCCUCUCCCCACUGUGAUCCCCAUGACCUCAGCUGCCACCUGCUGCUGUUAGUCACUCACACCAGCGUUCUGUAACCUGGAUCCUCUCCAACUUCCAAAUCACCGGUGGUCCCUGCCCGCUCGUCUGGAUAGCCCACAGAUGUGUGGAACUCAGGAAAAAGGAGAGAAGCUGCAUUUUCCAUUUCAGUCGAUGGGACCAACACCCUUCCAGAAACCCCUCCUCAUGGAACCUCAACAAGGUAUGUUCCUGAGGGUCUCUACCCAGAGAUGGCCCCCAUGGUACUGUCAGGACUCCUCUUGAGCUACUCUUCUGGGACCCAGGGAGGCAGGGGGUGGACCAAGGGGCCCUUGGGGGACUAAUGUUUGGGGCCAGUGUGUGUGUGUGUGUGUGUGUGUGUGUGUGUGUGUGUGUGUGUGUAGGAGAGGAACAGAGCAGCACCAUUCUCUGGGCUUGCUAACAUUCAACGAAUCCCACCCAGGCCCACUCUAUUGGUUUCCCGGGGCUGUAUAACAAAGUAACACAGUCUGGGUGGCUGAAGCAGCACACAUCUAUUGUCUCACAGCUCUGGAGGCUAGAAGUCCAAGAUCAAGGUGUCAGCAGGCUUGGUUUCUUCAGAGGCUUCUCUCCUUGGUUUUCAGGUGGUCAUCUUCUCUCUGUGUCUUCACAUCAUCUUCCCUCUGUGUGUGUCCAUGUCCAAAAUGCCUCUGCUUAUAAGGCACCGGCCACAUAGGAUUAGAGCCCACCCUAAUGACCUCACUUUAAUUUAAUUAUUUCUUUAAAGACCCCCAUCUCCAAGUAUCACAUUCUGUGAUAUCCUGGGGGUGAGGACUUCAGCAUAUUAAUUUGGGAGGGCACCAUCCAGCCCAUAACACCUUCUGGAAGCAGCAAGCACCUUAUCCCAUAUGGGCAGUUAUGCACCAC